UACAGAGGUCUCAAGCGUUGUUCGGAUUCAUUGGGCGUAAAGGGUGCGUAGGCGGCGCGGUAAGUCGGGUGUGAAAUCUCGGGGCUUAACUCCGAAACUGCAUUCGAUACUGCCGUGCUUGAGGACUGGAGAGGAGACUGGAAUUUACGGUGUAGCGGUGAAAUGCGUAGAUAUUGGGAGGAACACCAGUGGCGAAGGCGGCUCACUGGACCGGUACUGACGCUGAUGCGCGAAAGCGUGGGGAGCAAACAGG
rnacentral:rRNA from 1 species